GAUGAAGAACGUAGUGAAAUGCGAUAAGUAAUGUGAAUUGCAGAAUUCAGUGAAUCAUCGAAUCUUUGAACGCACCUUGCGCCCUUUGUCCAUUCCGAAGGGCAUGCCUGUUUGAGUAUCAUGAACACCUCAACUCUCAUGGCUCGCCAUGAUGAGCUUGGACUUUGGGGGUCUUGCUGGCCUGUGGUCGGCUCCUCUCAAAUGGAUCAGCUUGCCAGUGUUUGGUGGCAUCACAGGUGUGAUAACUAUCUGCGCUUGUGGUUUUCCAUCAGAUAACCUUCAGUGAUGGAGGUUCGCUGGAGCUCAUAAACGUCUCCCCUAAGCGGGGACAGCCCUUUGAAUGUUUGAUCUCAAAUCAGGUAGGACUACCCGCUGAACUUAAGCAUAUCAAUAAGCGGAGGA
rnacentral:misc_RNA from 1 species